GGCUCGGUGGUGGAUGGUCCACACCUGCAUUUAUUGGAUGCCUCCAUCUCUGAUUUACGCAGGAGGAGCCCGUUCGAUUCGGGUCCGAGCCG